UACGUAGGGUGCGAGCGUUGUCCGGAAUUAUUGGGCGUAAAGAGCUCGUAGGCGGUCUGUCGCGUCGGUCGUGAAAACCUGCAGCUUAACUGUGGGCUUGCGGUCGAUACGGGCAUCACUAGAGUUCGGCAGGGGAGACUGGAAUUCCUGGUGUAGCGGUGAAAUGCGCAGAUAUCAGGAGGAACACCGGUGGCGAAGGCGGGUCUCUGGGCCGACACUGACGCUCAUGCACGAAAGCGUGGGGAGCAAACAGG
rnacentral:rRNA from 1 species